rnacentral:rRNA from 1 species
AUUGAACGCUGGCGGCAGGCCUAACACAUGCAAGUCGAGCGGAUGAGAGGAGCUUGCUUCUCGAUUCAGCGGCGGACGGGUGAGUAAUGCCUAUGAAUCUGCCUGGUAGUGGGGGACAACGCUUCGAAAGGAACGCUAAUACCGCAUACGUCCUACGGGAGAAAGCAGGGGACCUUCGGGCCUUGCGCUAUCAGAUGAGCCUAGGUCGGAUUAGCUAGUUGGUGAGGUAAUGGCUGACCAAGGCGACGAUCCGUAACUGGUCUGAGAGGAUGAUCAGUCACACUGGAACUGAGACACGGUCCAGACUCCUACGGGAGGCAGCAGUGGGGAAUAUUGGACAAUGGGCGAAAGCCUGAUCCAGCCAUGCCGCGUGUGUGAAGAAGGUCUUCGGAUUGUAAAGCACUUUAAGUUGGGAGGAAGGGUUGUAGAUUAAUACUCUGCAAUUUUGACGUUACCGACAGAAUAAGCACCGGCUAACUCUGUGCCAGCAGCCGCGGUAAGAC